UUUUUACUUUUUUCAAAAAAUUUUGUCAAUUUUAACGAUACAGAGAAGAUUAGAACUGUCCUUGCAUAAACAUGACACGCUUAACAAAGUGAUUUUACCAUUUUUA
rnacentral:snRNA from 1 species